rnacentral:rRNA from 1 species
UCCGUAGGUGAACCUGCGGAAGGAUCAUUAUUGAAUUCGGCCUUUUGGCCUUAUACACAUAAUAUACACUGUGAACCGUGGCUUCGGCCCAAACUUGAAGUCUUGAAUGUAAUAUAUCAUAACAAAAUACAACUUUUAACAACGGAUCUCUUGGCUCUCGCAUCGAUGAAGAACGCAGCGAAAUGCGAUAAGUAAUGUGAAUUGCAGAAUUCAGUGAAUCAUCGAAUCUUUGAACGCACCUUGCGCCCUCUGGUAUUCCGGAGGGCAUGCCUGUUUGAGUGUCAUGAACACCUCACCCCCUCGGGUUUCCGAUCGGGUGGAUUUGGGUGCUGCCAGUUACAUGGCUCGCCUUAAAAGCAUUAGCGGUUGUUGACGUAAUAAGUUUCGUCUUGUCGACCGCUCCUAAUCUCCUUCGGGAUGUCUCUAGGGACACUUCAUGAUCUGACCUCAAAUCAGGUAGGACUACCCGCUGAACUUAAGCAUAUCAAUAAGCGGAGGA